UACGGGGGGAGCAAGCGUUGUUCGGAUUUACUGGGCGUAAAGGGCGCGUAGGCGGCCAGCACAAGUCAGUUGUGAAAUCUCCGAGCUUAACUCGGAAAGGUCAACUGAUACUGUGCGGCUAGAGUGCGGAAGGGGCAACUGGAAUUCCUGGUGUAGCGGUGAAAUGCGCAGAUAUCAGGAGGAACACCGGUGGCGAAGGCGGGACUCUGGGCCGAUACUGACGCUGAGGAGCGAAAGCGUGGGGAGCAAACAGG
rnacentral:rRNA from 1 species